UACGGAGGGAGCUAGCGUUGUUCGGAUAUACUGGGCGUAAAGCGCACGUAGGCGGCGCCGUAAGUCAGGGGUGAAAUCCCGGAGCUCAACUCCGGAACUGCCCUUGAAACUGCAGUGCUAGAAUCUUGGAGAGGCGAGUGGAGUUCCGAGUGUAGAGGUGAAAUUCGUAGAUAUUCGGAAGAACACCAGUGGCGAAGGCGACUCGCUGGACAAGUAUUGACGCUGAGGUGCGAAAGCGUGGGGAGCAAACAGG
rnacentral:rRNA from 1 species